rnacentral:rRNA from 1 species
UACGUAGGUGGCAAGCGUUGUCCGGAUUUACUGGGCGUAAAGAGCGCGCAGGCGGUCGUUCAAGUCGCGUGUGAAAGCCCCCGGCUCAACUGGGGAGGGUCACGCGAUACUGAUCGACUCGAAGGCAGGAGAGGGUAGUGGAAUUCCCGGUGUAGUGGUGAAAUGCGUAGAUAUCGGGAGGAACACCAGUGGCGAAGGCGACUACCUGGCCUGUUCUUGACGCUGAGGCGCGAAAGCGUGGGGAGCGAUCCGG